UACAGAGGUCUCAAGCGUUGUUCGGAUUCAUUGGGCGUAAAGGGUGCGUAGGUGGCGCGCUAAGUCAGGUGUGAAAUUUCGGAGCUUAACUCCGAAACUGCAUUUGAUACUGGCGUGCUUGAGGACUGGAGAGGAGACUGGAAUUCAUGGUGUAGCAGUGAAAUGCGUAGAGAUGUGGAGGAACACCGAUGGCGAAGGCAGCCUCCUGGGCCAGCACUGACGCUCAUGCACGAAAGCGUGGGGAGCAAACAGG
rnacentral:rRNA from 1 species